AUACUUACCUGGCAGAGGAGAUACCAUGAUCACGAAGGUGGUUUUCCCAGGGCAAGGCUUAUCCAUUGCACUCCAGAUAUGCUAACCCCUGCGAUUUCCCCAAAUGUGAGAAACUCGACUGCAUACUCCACUGUGGUAGUGGGGGAUUGCGCCUGUGCUUUCCCCUG
rnacentral:snRNA from 1 species